rnacentral:rRNA from 1 species
CUUGCUCCUUGGAUCAGUGGCGAACGGGUGAGUAACACGUGAGCAAUCUGCCCUUGACUCUGGGAUAACUGCGGGAAACUGUAGCUAAUACCGGAUACGACCUGAAGAGGCAUCUUUUUGGGUGGAAAGAAUUUUGGUCAGGGAUGAGCUCGCGGCCUAUCAGCUUGUUGGUGAGGUAAUGGCUCACCAAGGCGACGACGGGUAGCCGGCCUGAGAGGGUGACCGGCCACACUGGGACUGAGACACGGCCCAGACUCCUACGGGAGGCAGCAGUGGGGAAUAUUGCACAAUGGGCGCAAGCCUGAUGCGGCAACGCCGCGUGAGGGACGACGGCCUUCGGGUUGUAAACCUCUUUUAGUAGGGAAGAAGCGUAAAAGUGACGGUACCUGCAGAAAAAGCACCGGCUAACUACGUGCCAGCAGCCGCGGUAAUACGUAGGGUGCAAGCGUUGUCCGGAAUUAUUGGGCGUAAAGAGCUCGUAGGCGGUUUGUCGCGUCUGCUGUGAAAACCCGAGGCUCAACCUCGGGCCUGCAGUGGGUACGGGCAGACUAGAGUGCGGUAGGGGAGAUUGGAAUUCCUGGUGUAGCGGUGGAAUGCGCAGAUAUCAGGAGGAACACCAAUGGCGAAGGCAGAUCUCUGGGCCGUAACUGACGCUGAGGAGCGAAAGCAUGGGGAGCGAACAGGAUUAGAUACCCUGGUAGUCCAUGCCGUAAACGUUGGGAA